GACGAACGCUGGCGGCGUGCUUAACACAUGCAAGUCGAACGGAAAGGCCCUGCUUUUGUGGGGUUCUCGAGUGGCGAACGGGUGAGUAACACGUGAGUAACCUGCCCUUGACUUUGGGAUAACUUCAGGAAACUGGGGCUAAUACCGGAUAGGAUCUCCUGCUGCAUGGUGGGGGUUGGAAAUUUUCGGCGGUUGGGGAUGGACUCGCGGCUUAUCAGCUUGUUGGUGGGGUAGUGGCUUACCAAGGCUUUGACGGGUAGCCGGCCUGAGAGGGUGACCGGCCACAUUGGGACUGAGAUACGGACCAGACUCCUACGGGAGGCAGCAGGGGGGAAUAUUGCACAAUGGGCGGAAGCCUGAUGCAGCAACGCCGCGUGCGGGAUGACGGCCUUCGGGUUGUAAACCGCUUUCGCCUGUGACGAAGCGUGAGUGACGGUAAUGGGUAAAGAAGCACCGGCUAACUACGUG
rnacentral:rRNA from 1 species